rnacentral:lncRNA from 8 species
ACCACCUGGAAAAAAACUGAGAAGAAAAAAAACGCCAUCGUAGUGGCACCUAGUGAGCUAUUAACGGUGUAGCAUAGUAAGUUUUCUGGAAACUGCAUGUAUUUUCUAGAAAUUUCUACAAUUAAUGACGGAGAAAUCUACUUUACAUCAAGGUUUAUUUUCUACAAAAUCUAUCUGUCUAUCUGUCUAUCUAUUGUGAUUUGAGGCCUCAAUGCGCUGCAUAACUGCUCUUCCUAAACAGCGGCCUACACAGGCGUCUGUGUUUGUGAUACAACGGGAGACUUUUUUCAAAGAGGCAACAUCUGAUAACAUCUGCAGGACCACAGGCUCCCUCUCACGAUCGAGAAGAAACAGAGAGAGCUAGAAAG